rnacentral:misc_RNA from 1 species
CAACCCUCAAGCCUGGCUUGGUGUUGGGGCACUGCCUGUAAAAGGGCAGGCCCUGAAAUAUAGUGGCGAGCUCGCCAGGACUCCGAGCGUAGUAGUUAAACCCUCGCUUUGGAAGGCCUGGCGGUGCCCUGCCGUUAAACCCCAACUUUUGAAA